GAAACCACCCUCGCGGUGUCGUUCCCGAUCUUAUUUUCUUACUGUUCUAACCUGGAGAUCUCUAUCUUCGAGCUCUCUCUAAAUAACUGGGAUCUAGACCUUCGUAGGACGCUCUCUCCUGAAGAGUUGGAAGAUUGGCAUCGUCUUAUUGCUUGCUUCCCCUUGCUCUCGGAGGAAGAGGACUCGGUUGUCUGGCCCCAUUCUUCUUCUGGUUGCUUUUCGGUUAAGUCUGUCUAUGCUAAACUUAUUUCUGGCUCCCCUACGUCCAAGUUCAAAUGCAUUUGGAGUGCCCGUAUCCCUCCUAAGAUCAAAAUUUUCAUGUGGCAAGCUUUUCAUGGGAAGCUUCCCACAGCUGAUCAAAUUCGGAAAAGGAACGGUCCGGGCUCUGACAGAUGCGCCUUAUGUGGGGCCAUCGAAAACACUGACCAUAUCUUCUUUCAGUGCUCUUUGGCUAAGUGA
rnacentral:rRNA from 1 species